GACGAACGCUGGCGGCGUGCCUAAUACAUGCAAGUUGAGCGCUGAAGGUUGGUACUUGUACCAACUGGAUGAGCAGCGAACGGGUGAGUAACGCGUGGGGAAUCUGCCUUCGAGCGGGGGACAACAUUUGGAAACGAAUGCUAAUACCGCAUAAAAACUUUAAACACAAGUUUUAAGUUUGAAAGAUGCAAUUGCAUCACUCAAAGAUGAUCCCGCGUUGUAUUAGCUAGUUGGUGAGGUAAAGGCUCACCAAGGCGGUGAUACAUAGCCGACCUGAGAGGGUGAUCGGCCACAUUGGGACUGAGACACGGCCCAAACUCCUACGGGAGGCAGCAGUAGGGAAUCUUCGGCAAUGGACGAAAGUCUGACCGAGCAACGCCGCGUGAGUGAAGAAGGUUUUCGGAUCGUAAAACUCUGUUGGUAGAGAAGAACGUUGGUGAGAGUGGAAAGCUCAUCAAGUGACGGUAACUACCCAGAAAGGGACGGCUAACUACGUG
rnacentral:rRNA from 1 species